rnacentral:rRNA from 1 species
CCUACGGGUGGCCGCAGUGAGGAAUCUUGGUCAAUGGGCGGGAGCCUGAACCAGCCAAGCCGCGUGAAGGAAGAAGGCGCCAAGCGUCGUAAACUUCUUUUGUCGGGGAACAAAGGGCGCCACGUGUGGCGUUGUGAGUGUACCCGAAUAUAACGCAUCGGCUAACUACGUGCCAGCAGCCGCGGUAAUACGUAGGGGGCAAGCGUUAUCCGGAUUUACUGGGUGUAAAGGGAGCGUAGACGGCUGUGCAAGUCUGAAGUGAAAGCCCAGGGCUCAACCCAGGGACUGCUUUGGAAACUGUGGAGCUAGAGUGCUGGAGAGGUAAGUGGAAUUCCUAGUGUAGCGGUGAAAUGCGUAGAUAUUAGGAGGAACACCAGUGGCGAAGGCGGCUUACUGGACAGUAACUGACGUUGAGGCUCGAAAGCGUGGGGAGCAAACAGGAUUAGAUACCCCUGUAGUC